GACUCUGGAGAGUCUCAAGUAAGAGCGCCGAAGGUGUACGGCAGUUUACGGACUGUUAAUCUCUCAGGCAAAAGGACAGAGUAU
rnacentral:ncRNA from 2 species